ensembl:misc_RNA predicted gene, 27587
ACAAGCUAAGAGACACAAAGGAAAAAGUGUGACUGCUCUGACAGCAAAAACAAGCAAAUAUCUCCAGAGGGGAUUAAUCCCUCUGCUUCAAAGUAACCAAAGCAAAGAAAGUGGAGACUGCCUUGCUAGGAACAACACCUGCCCAUCACACAAGGAGGGGCUUAU